rnacentral:rRNA from 1 species
UAUCAAUAAGCGGAGCAAAAGGGUCCCUGCCUAGCAACUAAGUCGGAACANAGAGGGAACGNUUCCUUUAGAUUUGGCCCCNGAACACUGUUCCCUGGAACAGGACGUCAUACCAGGGUGAGAAUCCGGUGCGAUGGGGUGUCCAUUCUUAUGGANAGUUUCCUUCGACGAGUCGAGCUGUUUGGGAAUGCCGCUCUAAGUGGGUGGUAAAUUCCAUCUAAAGCUAAAUACUGGCGAGAGACCCAUAGCGAAUUAGUACAGUGAUGGAAAGAUGAAAAGAACUUUGAAAAGAGAGUGAAAAAGUACCUGAAAUUGUUGAAAGGGAAGGGUAUUUGAUCNNACUUGGUAUUAGAAUAUGGCAGCUCUCGGGUUGCCCUCCCAUUCUUUUACUGGGUCCAGCCUCGGUUCCGAUGGCAAGAUAAUUACGUUUGAAUGUGGCUCCUACCGAGUGUCAUAGCUUUCGCACAUAUUGCCUGUCUGGACCGAGGACUGCCGUCUUUUGCCUACGGAUGCUGGCGCAAAUGAUUUAAAUACC